CUUAGCUAGCUGCUGGGUGGGGCUUAACCCCUCCCUUUUCUUAGACAAAAGAGGGUGAUUUGGAUUGAGUUUGAUCCUUUUCCAUAAAGAGAUUUUUGUACUUUUUAGGUUUAAUGAGAAGCCUUAAAUCACUUGCUAUCAGUUGAGAAGUGUUCUACUAAUAUUUACAAAUUGAUUUAGGAGUUUUUUUGUUUUUUGAUGGCUUCCAUAUAGGACAGGCUAUAGUUACAAAUUAAUUAUAACAUUUAUUUUAGUUGUUAGCUAAAAUCUCUUUUUCACGGUGGAUUUCACAAACCCUCACCCCUUAUACUGGUUAGCAAGUUAACAUCUUGAAUAAUGUAACGGAUAUUAUAGUAAAGAAGAAACCUAAACUGGUUGGAUGUAGCCAAAAAAUCCCAAUCAAGCUCAUCAAUAUUAAAAAAGUAAAUGUGAUUUACAUUUUGUUAGCUUGAUGUACAGCCAUUGGAUUCAGAUUUAUGAAUUUUACAAAUGUGUAAUCUAGUUUUUAUGUAUUGGCGAAAAAUCCAUAAAAUUAACAAAUGUGAAUG
rnacentral:lncRNA from 1 species